GACCCGAUGGUGCAGUGGCUAGCACGUCUGCCUUGAUUAUAGCAGAAGGCUCCCGUUCGAUUCGGGAUCGGGUCU
rnacentral:tRNA from 1 species